rnacentral:rRNA from 1 species
UGCCCUUAGAUGUCCUGGGGCGCACGCGCGCUACACUGAUGCAUGCAACGAGUUCUUCUUYUCCCUGGGUCGAGAGGCCCGSGUAAUCUGUUGAACGUGCAUCGUGAUAGGGAUAGAUCAUUGCAAUUAUUGAUCUUGAACGAGGAAUUCCUAGUAAACGCGAGUCAUCAGCUCGCAUUGAUUACGUCCCUGCCCUUUGUACACACCGCCCGUCGCACCUACCGAUUGAAUGUUUCGGUGAAGAUUCCGGACCGUGGCUCGCGCGCUUCACGGCGCUCCUGCCGUGGGAAGUUGUCUAAACCUCAACAUUUAGAGGAAGGUGAAGUCGUAACAAGGUUUCCGUAGGUGAACCUGCGGAAGGAUCAUUACC